rnacentral:rRNA from 1 species
UACGUAGGGUGCGAGCGUUGUCCGGAAUUAUUGGGCGUAAAGAGCUCGUAGGCGGUGUGUCACGUCGGCCGUGAAAACCUGCAGCUUAACUGUGGGCGUGCGGUCGAUACGGGCAUUACUGGAGUUCGGCAGGGGAGACUGGAAUUCCUGGUGUAGCGGUGAAAUGCGCAGAUAUCAGGAGGAACACCGGUGGCGAAGGCGGAUCUCUGGGCCAUAACUGACGCUGAGACGCGAAAGCGUGGGGAGCAAACAGG